CCCACAUUCCUCAGCUAGACCCAUUCAUCAAGUUUUUUUUCUGGGUCCAUGUAAGGGUAUAUAUUCAUGGGCUUUUCAACUUGCAUUUGAUGGCUGGUGGAUUUUCAUGUGUUCCACUACAAUCCCGCACAAUGCAAAUGCAGAUGGAAAGUCCGGGACUAGAACUGAGCAUCUCUUCUUUUGAUGACAAGAUGAAAAUUCCACAGAUGGAUGGAACAGAAUGUGAUGCAUCAGAUGAUAAUGAGGUAUCUACAAAUAAAAGCCAUCACUAUCGACUUGGUCCUGAUAACCUUGAUGACACUCUGGAGUACAUGCCCUUGUGUUGUGACCCUGUUCAAGAGCUGGGGUGUGAUAAUUCCCUAAUACCUGCCUCCGGAUGAGAUUUGGUUGCAGCCACUCAUGAUCUUUUGUAGAUUUUAAUACUGUACAAUAAUGUUAAUAAAUAAAAGUAUGUGGUAUUCCUGCAUAGUUCACUGACUUAUUAAACCAA